UCCGUCAUGAUAGUAUGGUGGCUAGUAUCCCCGCAGUCCUGCGGGAGACCAGGGUUCGAUUUCCCGUGACGGAG